GAGCCGCGGUAAAUUGACUGUGCAAAGGUAGCAUAAUAAUUAGUUUUUUAAUUGAAGGCUUGUAUGAAUGGUUGGACAAGAAUUAAACUGUCUUUUAUUUUUGUAAUUGAAUUUUACUUUUAAGUGAAAAGGCUUAAAUAAUUUUAAGGGACGAUAAGACCCUGUAAAUCUUUAUAAAAUAUUGUGCUGGGGUGGUGUUAAUAUUUAAUAAACUGUUAAAAUUUAAACAAGUUAAUUGUAUAGUAAAAGGUCUUUUUUAAAAAUAAAGAGUUUAAGUUACUUCAGGGAUAACAGCAUAAUUUUUUUUGAGAGUUCUAAUCGAAAAAAAAGUUUGUGACCUCGAUGUUGAAUUAAAAUUUCUUCUUGGUGAAGCAGUUAGAGAAGAUAGUCUGUUCGACUAUUAAAUUUUUACGUGAUCUGAG
rnacentral:rRNA from 1 species